GAUAUAUCAUUAGCUUAUAUGCUAUAAAGAAGCCUUUUUGGCAAAUAAAUUACUGUUUGUUUCUGUACAUUAUCCUAUAUUAUAUGGCUGUCUUAACCACGAUGCAGGUUUAUUGUGUGAAGAAACCUCAAGUGAACUGAUGGAUGGUUAUGAUGUUAUCAAAUGGUGGCAUGGAACUCACUCCAAGACAUCAACUUGAAUGAAGAAAGACUGUUUGCUUGUUUCCGUCUACUUGAUUUUGUAUGAGUAUAUCGUAUGGUCCAGAUAUUCUUUCUGUCGUAAAUAGACCUUGAUUUUAUUUAAUUAUUUAUUAUUUCUUUCA